GGUUUUCCAGGAGCGCGCAUGCGCAGACGCGUGGCCCCCACUGCCGGUCAAUGUCCGCAGGCUGCGGGUUAGUGUCCGCAGGCUCCCACCCGGCCCCCGCCACUGAUAAGCUACAAGGAGGAGCUUUACCACUGGCUCUACUACUACUACUUGCGCGACUUCUCAGCCUGCGGCGUAGGGCGCAGCAAGGGCCUGACGCUGAAAGAGCAGGCGCUGCGCACCAAGCGGCUGUCGCCUGGCGAACACAAGCACAAGGUCGGACAGAAGCUCCUCAGUGGCCACCGCAAGCCCGCUAGCUCCGGCUGCAGCCCUUGCCGCACACUCGCCUCACCUGAGCCUGGGAUACCGAAGAACCUGUUCAAAGUAUUUUCUGUAACUCCAACUGUAACUUGGUUCUAGGAAGACAGAAUCCAUAUUUGGUCAACAGACCUUUUCACCCUCACUUAAGUUUACUGCUUCGAUAUCUUUUCCUUACUAAUUGAUUGUUAAUUAAGUAGUGUCCAAGUGAGUUAGCCUUUUUAGGGUUUAUUAAUUAAAAGAGAGCAUCAAGAGUG